GGAGAACGAAAGACAUAGAGGAGUACAGAGGAAUAAGAAAGAGGAGGGAGAGAGAGUGUGAAGGGAGAUCAAACCGGGCUUGAGUGGACAAGACGGGCAAGCGGCACCGGGAUCUAUCUCGCAUGGAAAAUGUGACCUUUCCUUCAACAAACGUCCCCGACUAGAUACACAAAUCCUUCAUGGCCCGGCUCACCGCAGGAAUAGACUCGCUGUCUGCGACAGAUGACUCAACGAAAACAACGGCUCGGGGCUGUCUCGCAGCCAGGAGCGUAACAGGAUCAAGGAGACGUGGGA